AUGAGCACGGCUUCGUGCUCCUCGCCUCCCGCGCCCCGCUUGCUUCGCCUACUGCUGCUACUAACCACUGCCGGCCACCCUCCCUUCCUCCCGCGGUCGCGCCACCGCGUCCGCCCGCGUCGCCGCGCCUCCCUGUUCGCCCUGCAGCUGCGUGCUGCUGGUGGCACCGUAGCCACCCUGCGCCGCCCACUCGCCACCGCACCGGCCCCCGCUGCCUCCCCGUCGGCCAGCCGCUGCCCCGCGACGCCACUCCGUCCGAAGCCCACGCCCCCGCCGGUGCUUCCCGCUGCGACGGCCGCCCCCGCUCCGUUCCCCUGGCCUUGCCUGCCUAGCGCCGCGCAGCCGUCGCCCCGCGGCUGCCGCUGCGCACCAGCGCACUCCGGCGCCCGUGCCCCUCGUCGUGGCUGCGGCUAG
rnacentral:rRNA from 1 species